AUGAGGAGUUUAGGAGCUUCUCCAGGCUUCUGCAAGUACCAGGACAAACAUGGUGUGCUGCAGCCUGUUAAAGGAGUGCUGGCGGUGCAUCUCAUCACAACAGUCUUGCCUACUGGUCCCACAGUGAAGCCCUCAGUGUCUCUGCUGCCGCCCUCUUCUUUGCAGAUCUCUGGAGACUCAGCCGCACUGCUCUGCCUGCUCAGCUCUUACUCUCCACAGGGGGCGCUGGUGAGCUGGACACUGGACGGCUCAGAGGUCACCGAGGGGGUUGUGACCAGCGCAGAGAGCGAGCAGAACGGCCGCUACAGCCGCAGUAGCGUCCUGACCCUCAGCAAAGCACGCUGGGAAGAGGGAGAGCUGUACGUCUGCAGAGUAACACAUGAUGGAGCUCCUCAUGAGGCCUCGUUCCACAAGAGUCUCUGUUAGUCGCUCGCAGUGCUGAUGUUUCUCCAGUGAGCGCUGCUCUCUCCUGAAGAUGAGCGUAUCUGAGUGUCCUGUGUCAGGCAGGAUUCACAUGAGUCUAGUGCUGCAGCUGUAGUCAUUUACAACUCAAUACUGAAAGAGAGCUCUAGUGUCAAAGCACUGGCUGAUCUUUCAAUCUGCUGUGUUUGCUGCAACAUUCAAUAAAGCUUCUCAACAAGCUCCA